rnacentral:rRNA from 1 species
UACGUAGGUGGCAAGCGUUGUCCGGAAUUACUGGGUGUAAAGCGCGUGUAGGCGGGAGGCCAAGUCUGCUGUGAAAUCGCCCGGCUCAACUGGGCGGGGUCGGUGGAAACUGGUCACCUGGAGGACGGUAGAGGCGAGUGGAAUUCCCGGUGUAGUGGUGAAAUGCGUAGAGAUCGGGAGGAACACCAGUGGCGAAGGCGGCUCGCUGGGCCGGCCCUGACGCUGAGACGCGAAGGCGUGGGAGCGAACGGGAUGAGAACCCU